UACAGAGGUCUCAAGCGUUGUUCGGAUUCAUUGGGCGUAAAGGGUGCGUAGGUGGCAAGGUAAGUUGGAUGUGAAAUCCCGGGGCUUAACCCCGGAACUGCAUUCAAUACUGCCAUGCUAGAGUACUGGAGAGGAGAUUGGAAUUUACGGUGUAGCAGUGAAAUGCGUAGAUAUCGUAAGGAAGACCGGUGGCGAAGGCGGAUCUCUGGACAGUAACUGACACUGAGGCACGAAGGCCAGGGGAGCAAACGGG
rnacentral:rRNA from 1 species